UUUCAAUCCCCUCUCCAUUCAUAUCAAUUUCUCAAAUCGCCACCCACUGUUGGACAUUCCACUCGUUGCAGGUCGUCGUCUUCCUGAAAUAUCUGUAACUCAUCGCGAGAGUUUCCGAGGACGGUUCGAUCCGCAGAACUGCAAUCAAGUUUCUGGAACCCAUCGCGAGUUUCCCGGAACUUGAUGCAGUUCCGCAGAACCGUCGAUUGGCGAUUUCUCGGAACCGCCAUUGGGAACAUCCGGCACCCUCACACUUGACGGAUGGUCGAGCUUCGCGUAGGGAUUGGACGGUUGGAUGUGGUGUCUGUCACAUGUACCUCACCGGACGAGUACCGUCUCAGAAUCGCGCCGUAUAUUACCUAGUGCAUAUAUGUAUGACGUCGAGUACUGUGAGUCUCGAAAAAAAACAUAUCAAAGUACAAAACAG
rnacentral:lncRNA from 1 species